AGUGGAAUAAAAGACCUACAUCUUUCUUUCUUUUUUUUUUAAUUGCAUUUUAGGUUUUGGGGUACAUGUGAAGAACAUACAAGAUAGUUGCCUAGGUACACACGUGGCAGUGUGAGUUGCUGCCUUCCUCCCCUUCACCUAUAUCUGGCAUUUCUCCCCAUGCUAUCUCUCCCCAACUGCCCCCCCAAGACCUACGUCUUUCAAGGGAAGUAUACUAAUGGCUUCAUAUAUGAGGGCAAUAACAUUCUUGUUUCUAUGUCAUAAAGCUAUUUUUGUGAAGGAUUGGGUGGAGAGUUAAAUAAAAGUCACCACCCUUCCAAAACAAAGUGUGUGUGAACACGUUUACUAUAGAAUAGAGACUCCCAGAACCCAGGACUGUCCUUGCUUAUUAAAGUAUGUAAGUCAGUUGGAAAGCAAUAAGCAGUCUUUUUUCCUAGACAGAGCGUUCUGACCACUGCAUGCCAUUUUGCACCAAUGCCCGUACUAACCUCAGACUGCAAGGGGGCCCUCAGUAUCUGCUGAAACCUGUCAAAGGCCUAUGCAUGGCACUGCUCUGAAUUCUUUGCAAACGUGUUAUACCUAAUUCCGUUUAUACUUAUCUCAGGAUAAUGACAUUGAGACAGGUAUUGUCUACAUUUUAUAGAAAAGGAAACUGAGGCUCAGAAUGCUUGAGUCAUUUACCCAUAUUUUCAAGCCUAACAGUGGACUAGUGGGAAUUCCAGCCCAGGUCUAUCUGACUCCAAAGCAGUGUCUCCAAGUUACUUCUCUGGUAGUGUCUGGGGAUUUAUAUUGACAGGAAGAUACAAAGUUGAUCUGUGUGGAAAUUGAACCCACAGUUUUGAUUUCAGUGUGCCGUGUGCUAAUGAACAGAGCAAAGUAUGGAAUAUAGUCAUAAUUAAGAGUUUACAUACUUCUAGAAUUUAAAUUCAUCUCUGCCAAGGGGUGAAUUUUAAAUGUUAAAGUUGCCAAUUCGAAUAUUAUAAUUUUCUUAUUCUAAAGAAGAGUGAAAUCCUAAGUUCAGAACAUAUCACACUACAGUUAAGGCAAAACCGGCUGAUUUUACACUUGAAAUCUUUUCAGUUUUAAUAUGUAUUUCUUUUUUACUUUGUGUUGCCUUUUAUUUUAGUAUUUUUAAUGAAUUCCUAAGUUAUGAUGUGUAUCACUCAAUGGAAUAUGAUGAAGGAGGUCUUAAAUUCAUUCGUAUGUAGCAGCAGAUCCCACUUUGAGACGGACCCUCUGAGAGAAUAAUUGUAUAAUCUUCUAAGCCACCAUUAAAAGACCAGCAGAGAUAACAAUGUGAAAAAUAGAGAUGAAUAGUGAAUUAAAAUGAGAGUUAAAUCUAUAGUGUUCCCUGGAUGUACAUACUUAUUGAAGUAUAAUAUUUUUUUAUUUUCAAUGAAAUUGUGGCUUAUGAAUGACUUUCUAAGUUGGAAACUUUAUCCAGGAAUAGUUGCCAAGUUUCACAUACUGGUUCAAAAGCUGUUAAAUUUGUCAGUAAUGUGUUCUAAUAAAGAGAAGCAUAAAAAGAAAUACAGGUUAAAUAUCCCUAAUUCAAAAUCCAAAAUGCUCCAAAAUCUGUAACUUUUUGAGUGCAGACAUGAUGCUUGGAUCAUUUUGGAUUUCUGGACUAGGGUUGCUCAAUGGGUAAGUAUAUGUAACCCAAAUAUUCAAAAAUUCAGAAAUGUUCAAAAUUCAAAACACUUCUGGCCUUGGGCAUUUCAGGUAAGAAAUACUGAACCUGUAUUUUCUUCCCACUAGAAUGAUGAAGAUGUUUUAUUCCUCUCUUUAUUUGGACUUUACCUGACUAGCUUUUUGGCCAGAAAAAGAUGUAUGUAGUACAUAGGGGUAGACAGUAAAAGUUGAAAACUGAAUUUUAAGUUAUCUUUUUAAACAACACUUACAAACACUAAGGGUGAUCUAAUCUAUAGUGUGUGUGUGUGUGUGUGUGUGUGUGUGUGUGUGUGUGUUUGUUUGUUUUUUGAGACAAGGUCUCACUUUGUCGCCCAGGCUGGAGUGCAGUGGUGCAAUCUCAGCUCACUGCAGCCUGCAGCCUCCACCUCCCAGGUUCAAGCAAUUCUGCCAAGUAGCUGGGAUCAUAGGUGUGUGCCACCACUAAUUUUUGUAUUUUUAGUAGAGACAGCGUUUCACCAUGUUAGCCAGGCUGUCCUGAACUCCUGACGUCAGGUGAUCCACCCACCUCGGCCUCCCAAAGCGUUGGGAUUACAGGCAUGAGCCACGGUGCCCAGCCCAGUGUAUUUUGUAAUUGAAACUCUACCUCCUUUUACUCGAAAUUGAAGUUCAUUGCCCCCACCUGAAAUUUGAGAUCCCCUUUUGCUUUUGCAUCCAGAAUGUAGAGUAUGAUUGUAGUACAACAAAAAUAAAGUUUAUAACUUGAUCAUUUAUCGGAUGGAAGCUUCCCUGGACAAAGGAGCAUUGAUAGAUCCAACAUAAACACUAUUUCCACUAUUGAAUACAUUUUCAUUCGAAGAAGAGCUGUGUAUCGGUCAUAACAUGUGCCCAGCUAUAGAGUCUUACAGGCAAUUUUCUAUUCUCUCAGCCGUGCCUUCCUGCCUCUCCUCUCUCAGUUAAAGUUCAUCUUUCCAAAUAUUUUGAAUAUGCUAUCUUAUGUAUCAUUUAAACAUUAAGCCUCCAAAAUUAAAAUGCUCCUCCUUAAUAUAUGAGUUUGCUUAAUGUAAUCUUCACCAUAGUUUAUAUAACCAAAAUUGAAAGUUGGUUCCUGGGCAUUUACCAUUGCCAAAUAUUUAUUUGGUGCAGGCUAACAUGAGGACAACCAUAAAUGCAAGUCACAUCCAUUCUUUAGAUUUUAGAGAGUUGGUUAAAAAAAGAAAGACGAUUAAACUCACCUAGAGCUUCAUGUUGAGAUAUUGAGUCCUGCUGAGUGACCUUGAGUUUUAAGAUUUCAUCUCUCCCAAAAAUGUCCAGUAAUUCUUUUUUUCUCCUCUAAAUUAAUAAGAAGCAAAAUUGACGGAACCUAUGGAGAUGUAAACCUGCCCUUCCUUGAUGCAGCCUUUCCAUUUAUUGGAUGUCUUUAAGGCAUGGUUUGAAUUUGCCUUCUAACCUGAUUUGUCUUUGGAUACCAAAACACAAAUUCUGCUCUUUCUCAAAAUAGAUGAAAAGCCCCAAUAGUACACAGAAACUGGGACUAAAAGGUGGUUUAAUAUUUAUAGUAAAGCUUAAUUUGCACAUGUUGGACUACUCUAAUUCAGAGAUUGUCGCAGUGCAGAGUUUACCUCUGCAUCACAGCAGAACAAAUGGUUUUCUAAGAAGUUACGGUGACCAAGAAAAAGCAAGUCGCAAAAAUGCAAUUUAAAAAAACCGAUUCAGCCGGGCACGGUGCUCAUGCCUGUAAUCCCAGCACUGUGGAAGACUGAGGCAGGCAGAUCAGUUGAGGUCAAGAGUUCGAGACCAGCCUGACCAGCAUGGUGAAAGCUUGUCUCUAGUAAAUAUAUAAAAAUUAGCCAGGUGUGGUGGCAUGUGUCUGUAAUCCCAGCUACUCAGGAAGCUGAGGCAGGAGAAUCACUUGAACCCAGGAGGUGGAGAUUGCAGUGAACCGAGAUCUCGCCACUGCACUCCAGGCUGGGCAACAGAGCAAGACUUUGUCUCAGAAGAAAAAAAAAAAAGACUCAGCACCUACUAAAUACUAUACCAAGCAUUACGCUAGUUACUCAGGAUACAAAAUUAGAUGGGAAAUAUGGAGUGCAAUAUAAAUAGGAAGCAGUUUGCUUUGACAAAUUCAAUUUUAAAAGUGAAUUUUUUAAAUCUCAUUAUUUUUCUGAUCGAGGAAUCCUUCAUCCGUCACCACCAUCACCCUGUCACCCCCACCAGCAUCCUCCCCUUCACCCUGCUGUUGUCACUGUCACUGGGAGUGAGGUUCUCCUCUGUGGGUCACAACUAGUUGCCCCCUAAGCUGGUUCAGGGGUUGAAACUUCAGUUUCUUUAACCAGGCACUUGGGACUUAGUACCAUUUCACUAUGCGGGUGGUGGGCGGCCAUGCCACUGUGGCAGCCGGAGGUGACGAAGAGAGACAGAUUGUCAGGAGAGCAGUGAAGGUUCAGAGAAGCUUGUAAUUAGAUUUACUUUUGCUUUUUCCUCUUGGAGAGUGAAAACACUGUGAACCAGUGGGAGCCACCUCACUUCUGUUCACCUCAUUAUUUUUCACUCUGCUAUCUAACCAUCAUUAUUCCAAUGGAAUCUAGUUGCUGUUGUGCCUCAUGAUUCACAGGCCCCUAGAAUCUUAUUUGAAGUGUUAGCAUUUGCCUAACUUUGUGGUUUUAAGAAGAUGACACUUUUCUGCAGAGCAACAUAGUGAUUUUAAAACUUCCUUUUUUUCAAUGUACCUAGAGAAGAAAGAUGGUAUCUAGAUUAAAGCAGCCUGCGGAGGAGUUUCUGAAUAGAAUACCAAAUACAGGUGACAUCAGGUGUUAUGAUAUGCUUUCCGCUAUAGAUUCCAGUUCAUUUGCACAAAGCAAAAAAAGUAAAUAAAGUUUUUAGGUAUCUGCAGCCUUAGUAUCUUCCACAGGCAAAGACAGGGAUUUGUAUUUUGCUUUAUAAAGAUGUAAAACACUGGCUGAUGACCAGGGAGUCCUUGGCUUCCUCAAAGAGGAUCCUGAAUAUGACGCAAAGAAUACAGUACAGUGCCAUUUGCGCCUGGUUACUUUUCUGAUGGAAGGCUUCUUAAACUUUGUUGGGCCUUGUACAUUUUUUUUUAGAGUCUUGUAAAAGUUACAAAGACUCUCCCUAUGAAAGUGCACAAAUCAUAUUCACAAAAAUUUUAAGUGUAAUUUCUGGGUCUUAAGACUUCAUGGAGCUUGGCCAUAGGCUCCAUGCAAAGAAACUGGAUUUCUUUAUUAUGUAUCAUGCUUACAUGCUUCCCUCAGCUCCAGGUCCCAGCCACAGUCGUGAGCAUGCAUGAGCCUAGCUGACGACCUCAUCCGUAGAUGGUUGUGACUUUAAAGAGGAUUAGGGAACUGAGUACAGAUGACACCAUACAAACUCGUUCUUCUUCCUUUCUUAUAUCCCCUCCUUCUUCCUCUCCUUAAAAAUAGUUCAUGGUCUCCUGAGGGAGAGCCGUGAGCAUGCCUGCUGCAUCUCACAUAUUGCUGUGUGAUCUUGAGAUGCUUAGGAAACUUGUUCAAUGAGUGAAUGGUGCACAUGAGAACACUGGGCUUCAAAUGGAGACAGAAGCAUACAUAGGCAGGAAAUGUGAUCUGGAAGACUCCUAGAGUAGAGCUCUCUACUUGGAGCAGCAUAGCAGGUAUAGAGCAAGCGCAGAGCCAGGUAACUGGAUGGACAGAGGUCUAGGGUACAAGGCAGCAUGGUGCAAGAGAAACAUCCUGUGCUUCAAACCUGGGCUAGAACCAAGGACCGGCUCCGGCAGGAGCUGUGUGACUCCAGGUUAACUUAAACUCUCUGAUCCUCAGUUUCCUCACUAACAAAAUUCGAGAAAUAAUACUAACUUGUCUGGGAUAUUGAAGAAAAUACACGUAGAGUCUCCAGUAAUGUUUGACAAUGUUGUACAUGCUCUGUAAUUGAUAGCCUUCAUUUUGGUUGAAGUUGCCUAUAUUUGUAACAUCAAGGCCAUUUAUAUAGGAAGGAUUUGGGAUAGGGUUGGCGGACAGUGCGAAAACAGAACGUGAAAAUGCAGAACUUAGCAACUUGGAUCCCGCGUGAGUAAGUGCCUUCCUAUGGUACAAAUAUCUCCUUGUAGAAAGAGUAUUAGCAUCGCACACUCUCCAGUGCAUUGAUCCACCUCCCUCUUGUGUGGUAUAAUAUACAUGUUCAGGAGUUAGAUUCUUGUGACCACUUCCAGAUCCAUUAAAUAAACUGUACUAACUUUGGAGCUGUGAUUACAGAAUGAGUCAGUGAGUCUGUGGCAUGGAUACCUAUAUAUUUUUUUCUGUUUGGAAGUUUCAGUCUUUUUUAAUUGUUGUGUCUCAUCUGAGAGGCUUUUAUAAGCCUUUUAAAAGAUAUUCAUUGGCCAAGUCUAGUGGCUCAUGCCUAUAAUCCCCGUACUUUGAGAGGCUGAGGUGGGAAGAUCACUUGAGGCCAGGAGUUUGAGACCAGCCUGGGCAACAUAGCAAGACCCUGUCUCUACAAAAAAUAAAAUAAAAAUUAGCCAGGCAUGGUGGCAUGCACCUGUAGUCCCAGCUACUUGAGAGUCAGAGGCAGGAGGAUCCCUUGAACCCAGGAGUUUGAGGUUGUAGCGAGCUGUGAUCAUGCCAUUGCACUCCAGCCUGGGUGACAGAGCAAGACCUUGUCUCUUUAAAAAAAACUAUUAAUAUCAGCCUCAUUAUGCUUUUAACAACAAAGGAAAAUAUUAAGAAAGGGGCUCCAAACUAAAUCAUAGAAAUUGGAAGGCUGACUUAAUUGAUUCUUUUAAUAAGCUUAACAUGAACAUGUUCUCUGGACCCAGAAAUGAGCCAGGCCCAUGAGAGGUACAUAAUGAGAAAUUCGAAAAUAAGAUUCUUGUCUUUAGGGAGCUUCAAAUCUGGAAGAAUAACAUUUUGCAUCGUAAGGAACUUCAGAGAAUAUCUUAUUGAAUUUACCCUUAACUAUUUCAUCUUCCGCUAAUUAGCACCCUCCAUAGCAAAGAAUGAGACAUGCCCAUUCAUAUCAGCUGGGAAGGAAUUAUGUGGCAUAUUAUGUUCUGAACAUUGCUGGGAAAAUGUAUUCUGAAAUAUCUUGUGAUUUCUGUGUACUUUAUUCCUCUCCUUCAAAAUUCUAUUGCGUGCAGGCACAUUCUGCUCUGUUCCUAGGGAAAGCAUUCUUGGAGCAGACACUUCUAGACUGCCCUCACUUCAAUUCCAUUUUUCUAAGUUGAUUCAAAAUGGAGUACCAAAAAAUUUUCAGUUCAUGUUUACAAAAUCGCUUGCUGGAGGCUUAGAGAUGCUUAAUCAUACCCUGCCUCUUUUCUGGGUCCCUUAUAAAUUGAAAACAGACACAGGAAGCCAGAUGAGUAUCAUGGUAAGUAUCUACCUUAUUAACAGGCCAGACGAUUCGCAGGUGCGGAUCCAGAGCUAGUUUGGAAUAUAUUCCAAACACUUAAAACAUCAAAUGAUUUGUAGACAUAAUACGUAAAGAAGUAAUCUUAGUACAAACCAGUAAAAUCAACUAAACCACAGUAAAGUUCACUGCAGCAUUCUUUAUUCAAUAGCAAAAAAACUGGAAGCAAACUAAGUAUCCACCAAUGAAUAAAUGAAUAAUGAAAAUCCUCCAUAUUCCUACAGUGCAGUAUUACAAUGUUAUCCAACAGUUAGGAGACAUGAACAAGGCAUAUAUAUAUAUAUAUAGAGAGAGAGAGAGAGAGAGAGAGAGAGAGAGUCAUAAUUAUAGAUUUCAAAUACAAUUAUUAAGUGAAUAGAGGAUUAUGCAGAAUGAUAAAAAUUGUAUGGUACUGUAUACAUUAAAAACACAAAAAUACAUUGUUUAUGGAUGGACAUUCAACAAAUAUUUAUUAAGCACCAUCUGUCUUUACAUGGUGUAUUUACAAAUGGUAUGUAUUUGUUUAUAUUUAAAUAUUCAUAUGCACAUAAAAGUAUAGUAUAUUUGUUAUAUCAAUAAGACAUGGAUAUCGAAGUAUCUAAAACGAUACCAAACACACAAGCUGGCCAAACCCAUGAACGUUGCUGUGCCUGGGGAUGGGAGGUGAGCAAUGGGUGGUAGUUUCAUUUCUUAGAAGGAAGGCAGAGGCUAGCAGCAGAUGGUACAAGAUAUUACUAUUUUUUAUGUCUAAUGGUGGGGAUAUAGUAUCCAUUUACAUUCUUCACACUUUUCUGUAUCUUUUAAAUUUCUCAAAAUCAAAAGAAGUCUAUGAAAACAGGAAUGUAUUUAUGACAAAGUGUCAAAUAGAAAAAAAAAAAAAGCAGAUUACACAGUGGUCACUGGCUUUGCUACACCUUCCCCUGGGUCCCAGCGUGGACUUGGAUGGAAGAAAACCUUCAGGAAAUGCUAACAUAUGUGCCAUGGGCCCAGCUCUAGGUCAUCUGAAACACUGCUGAUUUAGAUUUCACUUGAAAUCGCUGCUGUUUCCAAGGGCUCUGGUAGUCAUGGCCAGAGAUGCAGUUGAAUUUCCUGACCUCUAUUAAUUGCUGUUCUUACUGGCCAAUUAGCUAAAUGUAUGACAACCCUUAAUUUAGCUUGUGUUUCAUAAUUCAGUAAGCUGGAUAGUCCCCACAGAUCAGUAGUUAUGAUGGCCCCAGCCUGUCCUGUGUCCUCUGGGCCUCCUUCAGUCAUUAUCCUCCCAAAGUGCUCAUUCCCAGAAAAUGGGUUAAUCAGGCCAGUAGAAGCGUCAGGCCCCAUAGUAAAGUCCCAUGGGCCCUACUUUCUUCCUCUUCUGGGGUACAUGCAGGUUGGCCACCUUAGCCAUGCUCUGGAAGUGGAAGGAAGCCAAACAGAAUGUUCUUCCCAACCCUAGGCCCCGGGUGCCCCCUCCUUACGCCCUCUGGGCCUCUCUCCUUACCAUCUGGCUGGUCCGUUGUUCUCUGCCUUAUAGAGAGAGGGGCCUCCCAUUAAUAGCUGAAGUCUUCUUCCUGGCCAAAUGUAUGUGCUUCCUAUUCUGAAAGCAAAGAGAAAGGAAGGGAAGGUGAGCCCUGUGGUCUGGCAAACAGUGCCACUUCCCUUUGUGGAGAGGAAAAAAAGGAACCAACUUAAAGUAUGUCCCUCACCUCUCCCUUUCCAGGGGCGCAGCCCAUGGAACAGUGAAGGGGCAAACCCAAUCUCUUAUCUUUUCUCCACAUGUGACUGGCUUAGUCCAUCACUAGCUAGAGGGUCUCAGCAGGUGUGAGGCAAAGGACUAAUGGGGACCUGCCAAGUUCUCUAAUCUAGCAAGAAAACUGAUCCUCAUCUAACUCUUUCUGGUAUUUUACGGUUGAAAACUGUAAUCAAAGAAGUUGUGUGAUUAGUCUCCCCAAACCUCCAUCCAAGUUUAAUAUGAAUUCUAGGGUGUACAUGGAACAGAGAGCUCUUUCAGGACAAAGAGUUCUAAAGAGUUUGUCUGAAAGACACAUCUUUGUCAAGAGGCAAAUGAAUUAAAACGCCAGAUUUGCUAAAGCCAUUGUCCAAAAGGAAGUGAAUCCUCGGGGACGUGUGCGAGGCUCCAGUCUACCAAGUGGCUUUUCCCAGAUUUCCUGGCUUGCGGGCAACGUGGUAGUAUUCGAAUCCUAACUCUGAACACUUGAGAAUGCUCUAAGACAUCCCUUUUAAUUAAAUCCAACAAAUUGCGUAGAAAUCUUCCACAGAAUAUGUCUGAUUAGAAGAAAUCGGUCACGACAGGGAAGAAUUUUAUAAGAUAAUGUUAAGUGAAAAAAGCAAAAUAAAAUAUUGUGUCUAUAUUAGGAUUGAAAUGGUAUUAAAAUGACAUGCAUAUGGACAAGAUUGAAAUGAAACUUGAAGACCGGGAAGAUGCGGUUGGAGAUGAAUUUUUCAUUUAAUUUUGAUUUUGAUCGUUUUCUUGCUUGUAAAAUAAGAAUAGUUUUUGCAGACGAGUUCUGGAGAGAUGUCUCUCAAGGUGGAAAUUAUCCCUGCCGUUUGAGCUCUGAAGAGGGCAAAACCCUUGAACAGUGUAGCCUCUGAUGCUACUGGUGUGAUUCUGUUCUCUGGCACAGGGCAGGCAAACUGUGGCCCGUAGGUCACAUGCAGCCUGUGAGACAGGAGUGCUUUUUACACGUUUAAAUGGUUGGGAGAAAACAAAAGAAGAAGACUGUUUUGUGGCAUGGGAAAAACUGCAUGAAAUUCAAAUUUCAGUGUCCAUAAAUAAAGUUUUAUUGGGACUCAGCCAUACCCAUUCAUCUACUUUUAUCUAUGGCUGCUUUCAAGUUUACGACGGCACAGUUGAGUUGCAAUGAGACCAUAUGGAAUGCAAGGCCUAAAAUAUUUACUGUGGCCCUUCCCAGAGGAAGCUUGCCCAGGCCUGCUCUCGGACAUCCGUUCAAUAUGGCCAAGGGAACGCAUCAUCCACCUUCUCUUGCCCUGUCUUUAUCCGCACUCCUGCUCGCCUCCUUGUGGGGAAAGAACGUCAUUGAAGUCAUCCAAGUGCCAGCCUCAGAUAAAGCCCGAGAAGUAUGUGCCUUAAAGCUUCUAAAAUACCCUCCUUACUGUUGGUGAAAUGGGGAUUCAGGUAUCAUAAACACUUCAUGGGGGUUUCAAAGCUGUUUAGUUAAUACUUAUUCUCUCUCGGAAAUGAAAAGCCCAGUAUCCUGGGAUUGUUGUCACUGCUGUUGUUAUCACAGUGAUCGUUCCUAUAUAUGGUCAAAGAAACAGUCAGCAGCUGUCACUCUCCACUGCUCAUUACAAAUGAGACCUUUUUCCAGCUGAAAUAAUAGCGUGUGAGUCUAAUUAGAAUAAAGCUCAUUAGAGAUGGAGACAGCCAUUAAUGCCUCAAUUGAUUUUCCUAAUGAAGUAAGCCGGGGGAGGAGACUUCAACAGCACAGCUAAUUAUUUUCUGCUUUUCUUCAGCAUGUCUUUGGCAUUUAAAACUUCUUAUAACUUGUUGUUUGACUGUAAACGAAAAUGCUGCUGAAAAGUGCUCUGUGAUUACAGAGGCUCUGACACAUCCAGCCCUGAGAAGGGGGAGGAAGGCAUCUGCUUCCUGCAGGAGGAGGUUUAAACCUGGCAGCCUCUGGGGAUAGCCUUCCUUCCACUUUUUCAGCCUCCUCCUCCUGUGCAUUCUGGGUUCUAGCUAGUCGUUCCCAGACACUCAAGUUGUAGUGUGUGGUUUUCUCCUCCUGCAGUCCUGGUUCAGGGACAGAGCUGAAACAUACAGAUGCUUAUGGGGGUUGCCUCUGGAUGGUGAAACAUGGAGGAAAGGGUUAUGGGAAAAAGGGUUUUAGAUGGACAGAGGAGGGAAAUACCUACAAAAUGUGUGUACCAGAAUGCAGAUGGGGCAAUUGUGCUUCAUUAAUCAAGAUGCUCUUUGCCACCCAGAAAGCAGUUAAAUCCCACAGUACAGGGAAAGGGCUGUCAAGGAAGGGCAAGUCAAGAACUGAGACUCAGCAUAUAACACACUUGGGAGACUCAUAACAGGGAGGAUGGGAGGAGGGUGUGAGGUAAAAAAAACUUCAUAUUUGUACAGGCUACACUGCUUGGGUGAUGGAUACACUAAAAUCUCAGAAUUCACCACUGUGUAAUUUAUCAUGUAACCAAAGACAACUCAUACCCCAAAAGCUAUUGAAAUAAAAAAUUUUUUAAUUUUUUAAAAGCCUUACUAAAUGAGGAAAUUAUUCAAUAAAAGGACAUUAUCUCAGUGACUGUGUUAUUAGAAAUGUAGUUUAGUGUAAAGCACUAACAGCAACUAACAGAUUCCCAGUGUCGUCCAGACAAGUAAAGGAGAGGAAGAAAAAUUCUUCAGGUGAUCGUUCAACUAGUCACCAAGCAACAAGAGCCUGCUUUAUGACAAGUGUAACAGCUUACACUUCAGACAGGAAGAAGCCUCAUUAAAGUGAACUUCCGUCAUGAGCCUCUAUUACUAAACUUCAUGUUUGCUGUCUGCAAACCCAAGAGUCUUGAUCGGACUUUUUUGCUGACUCCAUUGCCCUACCCGUGAGGUUCUUUAACUCAGAACUGUGUGAUAAAAAGCAAAAGGUGGAGUUUAAGAUGCCUGGCUGAGGCCGGGUGCAGUGGCUCACGCCUGCAAUCCCAGCAGUUUGGGAGGCCAAGGUGAGCAGAUUAGCUGAGGUUAGGAGUUCAAGACCAGCCUGGCCAACAUGGUGAAACUUUGUCUAUACUAAAAAUACAAAAACUGCACAAGCAUGGUGGUGCAUGCUAUUUGGAAGGCCAAGGUUGCAGUAAGCCAAGAUUGUGCCGCUGUACUCUAGCCUGGGCAACAGAGCCGGACUCCAUCCCUCCACCCCACAAAAGAGUGUGCCUGGUUGAACAUCACGGAGAUAACUGGAGGUGAUUCCGCACAUGGUUGAUGUGAGUAUUAGUUGACCCCCUUUCUUUUUUUUUUUUUUUUUUUUUUGAGACGGAGUUUCGCUCUUGUUACCCAGGCUGGAGUGCGAUGGCAUGAUCUCUGCUCACCACAACCUCCACCUCCUGGGUUCAGGCAAUUCUCCUGCCUCUGCCUCCUGAGUAGCUGGGAUUAUAGGCACGCACCACCAUGCCCAGUUAAUUGUUUGUAUUUUUAGUAGAGAUGGGGUCUCACCAUGUUGACCAGGAUGGUCUCGAUCUCUUGACCUCGUGAUCCACCCACCUCGGCCUCCCAAAGUGCUGGGAUUACAGGCUUGAGCCACUGUGCCCGGCCAGUAGACCCCCUUUCUACCGUUUCAGUUACCCAGAGACAGUAAAAAGGGUGAGUACAGUACAAUAAGAUAUUUUGAGAGAAAGAAAACACAUUUACAUAACUUUUAUUACAGUGUAUUAUUAUAAUUGCUCUAUUUUAUUUGUAGUUGUUAUUGUUAUUACUCUCUUGUGCCUAAUUUUUCUUUCUUUUUUCUUUUUCUGAGACAGAGUCUCACUCUGUCGCCCAGGCUGGAGUGCAGUGGUGCGAUCUCGGCUCACUGUAACCUCCACCUCCCAUGUUCAAGCAGUUCUCCUGUCUCAGCCUCCCGAGUAGCUAAGAUUACAGUCACGCAUCACCACGCCCAGCUAAUUUUUGUAUUUUUAGUAGAGACUGGGUUUCACCAUGUUGGUCAGGCUGGUCUCGAACUCCUGACCUCAAGUGAUCAGCCCACGUCAGCCUCCCAAAGUGUUGGGAUUACAGGCCUGAGCCUAAUUUAUAUAGGUCUGUAUGUAUAGGAAAAAUAUAGUAUAUGUAGGGUUCAGUACUCCCCUAACCCAUGGAAAAGGGGGAACAACUGUACUUAAAUAAAUACAAAUAAUGAAUAAUGGACAGUGCGAUUCUAGUAUCAACUUUGAUUUCCUCUCUUUGCCGUCCUGUUGCCUCUCUCCUAAGUUCCAGGCUGUUCUUUUAGCUGGUCCUAUGCCCUGUUCUGUGUGCAUAGUCUUGCUCAAAACUUAUUAUCAGUUGUGUUGUUUAAAAAGGCUGCAUCUUCCAUCAUGAUGUGCAAAACAUUGAUGGGUUUCUUCCCUUACUAAAAUACCAGGACACUUUCCAUGUAACAUCAUUUAACAGCCUCCACCCUGCCACCCCCGCAGCACAGCACUGCUUCUCUCCAAAGCCAGAGUGUUUAUAACCCUUUGAAGUGGGCCCACAAGGACUCCAGUAGGUACCCGAAAGACAAAGAUGGACAAGAAACAUGUUUUCCCCCUCAAUAAGGGAGGCAAACAUUUUGCCCAAAAUUCUGUACAACAUGGUGGUGCCGUGGAAGGGCCACUGAGAAGGGAAGAGACUGAUUCUCUCUAGAGCAGCUACAGGGAAUUUUACCAGAGGAUGAGGUUGGGGCCAGAUCCUAAAGACUAAGUAGCCAAGAAGAGAAAGCUGGGGAGAGGGUGUGAGGAAAGAGAGCAGCAGAUGUGAAAACACCGUGGUGUGCAAGGAGGAUCCGCCUGUUGGACACAGUGGGUGCUUGGUCUCUUGGGUUUUUAUUUGUUCUUUUAUCUUUUAUUUUUGGUAGUAGUGCAUGAACCAUGCCUUAGUAACCAUUUUCUCCUUGGGAUAUUAGAUUUUUUCCCAUAUGCCUAGUAAAAAUGCUGCAGUGCAAAUAUAUUUGUACAUAUAUCUUUAACAACUUUAUGGAGGUAUAAUUUACACCCCAAAAAACUUAUUCAUUUUUCAUGCACAGAUCAAUUUUAGUAAUUUAGUGAAUUGUACAACUGUCACCACACUCCAGUAUGAGAAGAUUCCCAUCACCUCAGUAAGAUCUCUCCUGCCUGUUUACAAUAAAUACUCAUUCCCACCUCCAGUCCCAGGAACUGAGGAACCCAACCAGUGUGUGUGUUUUGGGGGUGGAGUUUGGGAUUUAUCUUUGAUUCUGAUUUCUAUGAUUGUUGUAAAAAAAAAAAAGGUAUUAAUCUUCUUAUGACUCUCAAUAUUGCCAAAUUGCUUUUCAAAGCAGCCAUACAACUUUACAUACUGCUAACAAUAUAUGAGAAUUGUGGGUAUUGCCACUGUUAAAUUUCUAGUGGUUUUAAUGUUGUAUUUUUUGAUUACUGAAACAUCUUUUGAUUUGUGUGUUUUCUGGUUUUAUUUUGUUUUAAAUGAUAUUUGAUUUGUACACUUUCACUCUCAUUAGGCCUCUCUUAAGACUAUUCAUAUUUUGAUUUGUUUGAGCUUCUGUAGCUUUCAUCAUUCACGUGUUGUAUGCUGCAGGUAUUUUUUCUACUAUGAGGUUUGUUUUUAUAUUUUGCUUUAUUUUUCUUCUUAAGAUGCAAAUGUUUAUCUUUGCAUACUCAGAUGUAUUGAUAUCUGUAUUUUACUUUGCAGUCUUUUUCUAUGCCUUCAAAGUGUACAGAGUUGUCUCCCCCUCCAAAUCUUUGACAAAGGUUCAGUUUUCUGUUCUGUUCUAUUAUUUUUAGUAAGAUUUAACACAUUCUCUUGGAAUCUGUUGUUUCUGGUGAUUGCCUUUGUCAGAUACUUAAUUCUGACAUAUGUUAAGGUGUAUUUCUGGGAUAUCUUGUUCUGCUAGUGACUUUCUGAUGGGUUUAUUUUAAACAGAGUGUAGAGAAAUGGACACACAUGAGAGGGAGACCCGGAUGUGGGAAACUGACACACGAGAGGGAGUCCCAGAUGUAGGAAAGUGACACACACGAGAGGGAGACCCGGAUGUGGGAAACUGACACACACGAGAGGGAGACCCAGAUGUGGGAAACUGACACACACGAGACGGAGACUCGGAUGUGGGAAACUGACACACACGAGAGGGAGACCCGGAUGUGGGAAACUGACACACACGAGACGGAGACUCGGAUGUGGGAAACUGACACACACGAGAGGGAGACCCGGAUGUGCGAAACUGACACACAUGUCAGGGAGCCCUUGAUGGUAGGUUCCAUUCAUAGGUAGUGGACCCAGGAGUGCUGUUGAUUUGGAAAGACAACCUUGGUUCCAAAGGCCAAGACUAAGCUGUUCUCUGGGAGUUACAGAGCUGCAGGAGUUGGGGUCUGCUGUUUUAACAGUUUCUUGGUCUGCUUGGAAAAGUAUCUGAUAUGCCCCAGCAGGAAAGAGAAUGCUCUGUCCAAAAUGUGCGUGUUGCCAGCACUACUCUAAAUCUUGGAGAUACAGCAGAAUAAAGUUUCUACCCAGUAGGAGCUUCUGUUCAAGGGAAAAGAUGGUCAAUAAAGAGAUGAAUUAAUAUGUUAAUAAUUUCAGGGAAUGAUAAUUCAUAUAAAUAAAAAUGAAGCAAGACACUUCAACAAACAAAAACCUGAAAUGUAUGUUCUGCAUUGACAUCAACCUACACUUCCAGGAGGAUAAUACUACCGAUAACUGAAGAAUACAUGGAAGCCUCUACAUGGAGUGGGGUGUGGUUGGAAAAAUUUGGGUGGGCAAAGGUUCCUUGGGGUUUUUGAGUCUGCACCCAAAGGCACUCAUGGUUCUUUCAAACAGCCCUCCUUUGUCAGCGUCAGGAGGAGUUUCUGUUCUUCCAUCUUGCAAGGGUCUCCUGGGGUUCUUGCUCUCUGCAGCUUUCAGUGUGUCCUUUGCACAAGGGUGGGAUUGUGACUAAGGCUCUCCAGUUCUAACUGAGUAAAGCAUCCUGACGAAGACUUCCAUUUGGGAUUCCUUUAAGGGGGAAGGGCAUACUUCAGCAAAGAGUUGCUGUGUAUCCACUCAGCUCCCACUUCCUGCCUUCUGACAGCUGCAGGUCUUAAGGAUCUCUUUGUAGCACAGUUCUUUAAAAAUUAAAUGAGACAUGAAGUCAUGUUACAGAAGCGGGCUCCCUGUCCUGCCCAGUAGGGCCAGUGUGCAGAUGGGGUCCCCUGUGAUGCUGAGAUGGGGCCCCUCCAAUGACCGUUCUCUCAACUCCCCUUUAUUUUUAUUUAUUUAUUUAUUUUUAAAAUGGCAUAUAGUAAUUUACAUAUUUAUAGGGUACCUGUGAUGUUUUGACACACUUACAGUGUGUAAUGGUCAUUACAUACUGGGUAGUUACGUACAGGGUAUUUAGUACAUGCGUCACAUCAAAGGCUUAUUUAUGUGUGCUGGAAACAUUUCAAAUCUUCUCACUACUUUGAAAUAUACAAUAUAUUACUAUUAACUCUACUCACCCUACUGUACUGUUGAACACCAGAAUUUAUUCCUUCUUAACCAACCUCCCUUCAUCCUCGCCCUUCCCUACUGUCAUUUACACAAGGUAAUCACCAUCCUCAGGUCUCCUUUCUUAGAACGUCACUGGAUGGCCGUAUGGCUUAUGGCCAUAUCUUACUUUCAGUGUGUUUUGGUUUCAAAGUUUGUUACCAAAGCAAUUGCUUCUCAGUGCUGCUGAAACAGGUGAUAAUAAAAAUGAAGCUGAGUUGAAUUUGAAUUUAGUUGUAACAAAGGCAAGGACCAGCCCAGCGGGCUUGUGCUUCUCUGAGGGUUCCCCACAAGUAUCAGAGCUUCACUCUUACCCCUCUUACCCUUGCAGGACUGAUACGAAUAGUAAGUGAAAUAAUAUCCACAAAGCAGCUAAUGCUGUGUUCUUUCUCCUUUGUAUAGUAAUGAUAAUAAUUUCAGAGUAGCCUAUGUUAGGGAAAUGAAAGCUGCAGAGUCUUGUGUUUGCAAAAAGGGUUUAUAUUGUAUCUGUCCCUCAAAAGGUGGGGUGGGAGAGCCUUUACUGCUGCUGCAUACCCCAGAAACUCAUUUACUGAGUUGAAGACAAUGAGAACACCAUUUUUCAUGUAGGCACGUGUGUAUAUGUGUGUGUGUGUGUGUGUAUCUGUCUGCCAUUCCUUUCAAGUUCUUCCUCAUGGAUGAGGCACCCUCUAAACCCCACAUUGGCUGGCUGAGACUUCGCUUUGUUUCGAGGCCUCUUUUAGUCAUAGGUAGUAAAGGGACUUUGGUUUCUACCGUAGACGUUUGAUUCAUGUACAUGGAUUUCUGGCCUGUCUGGGGUACAAGGCUGAGUUGGGAGGAAGAGAUCCCUGACACCUAUCAGAAUGACAGGUUAUGGUCACAGUCCUUACUCACCUGACAGCCGAUGAGGAAGGAGGUCCCUACAAACACAGGGUUUAUAAUAACAACAAUGAAAAUAAAAGUAGCAGCAACUAACAUUUAUUAACUACUUUGCCAGACACGAGAUUUUUCCAUUUAAUCCUGAGUGUAACCCUACGGGAUGGAGACCAUGAUUAUCCCCAGGAAACCAAAGCCCAGUAAUAUGCACGAUGUCAAACAACAGUGUAUAUGUACAUAUAUAUACUGGAGAUGUUCACUUUCCUUUCCUGAUAAAACCUUCAGGAACACUCCAUGAGCCCUGCUUUUCCUCUCCAGCUGAAUACUCAGGUCCAUUUGUAAGUCUCCUCCCUGAGCCUCAUGAGUUGGUGGUCUGUGGAGAGCAUCAUUUGACAUGUAUGGCAUUGUGUGGACACAUUUGUAUGCGUCUUGUUCCCCAUAUUAAAGAAUAAAACCCCAGUGGCCAGAGACCUUGAAGUUCUUUCAAACUGUCCAGUAUGUGACUCAGAGCAUGUCUCCUGAGUGGUCUGGGGCAAGUCUGGGGAUGGCAUCUGCUUGGACAGUAUCACCUGGGAGGCUGCCCCUGGGGUGACUGCCAAGUACACACUCCUGUUCUCAGGAAGGCUGCGUACCCAGCUUCUCUGCUCAGGAGAGGUUUUAUGCAGCAAGUAAAACAAGCCUAGAGAUGACACUAGACCCAGACACUCUGCAAGCAGCAGGGGCGGGAGUUAGCAGUCUGAUGGUGGAGAAAACCAAAACAUCCUAAGGGGUGAAUCCCAUUCUAAGGGAGCAGCAAUCUGGAGCCAGCUGGCCUGGGAGUGAGCAGACCCUGUGGCUUCCACGGGCCUGAAGACGUCAUUGUAUGGCAGGGUUUUGUUUGGUUGUCGCUCUGUCGCCCAGGCUGUAGUGCAGUGUUGUGAUCUCAACUCACUGCAAUCUCUGCCUCCCGUGUUCAAGCCAUUCUUCUGCCUCAGCCUCCGAAAUAACUGGGACUAUAGGUGCCCAGCACCAUGCCCAGCUUGCUUUUAUAUUUUUAGUAGAGACACAGUUUCACCAUGUUUGCCAGGGUGGCCUCAAAUUCCUGACCUCAGGUGAUCCACCCACCUUGGCCUCCCAAAGUGCUGAAAAUACAGGCGUGAGCCACUGCACCCAGCAGGCAGCAUUCUCUAGUUUUCCAAAUACACACAGGCAUGUGCACGUAUACAUCAUGUGUAAAAGUAUGUUUCAGAAGUGAUUUCAUUGCUUUAUUACUAUUAACUCGUUUAAUCUUCAGCCGUUCUGUGAAGUAGGUACUGUUGUUCUCUUCAUUUUACAGAUGAAGAAACUGAGGUGCAGAGAGGUAAUUUUAUCAGGAUCCCAGAGCUAGGAAGUCACAGAGCCAAGAUUAGCACCCAGCUACAUGGCACAAAAUACUCCAUUUUGAUAAUGCUUAAAUAUUAGGAAAGUAUAAAAUAUUUCUGUCAUACAGAUAAUGUGACCCAAAAAGUGUAAUGUAUUUAAGAAAUAAUUACAUGCAGAAUUAUUAUUUUUAAGUAUUUGUAUGUUUAGAAGUUUCGGUUACUUAGAACAUCCUGCUUUUAAAAGAACAUUCCCCCCCAAAAACGAAACAUGUAGCGUUUGUUUUAAAAGAAAAAGUUGAAGAAUACAAAUAACAAUACCUGACUUUUUACAAAACCCUUAUCUAUGACAUCAGGACACCGGCAGGGCAGGUACUUUCAUUGUUUAUGGUCUGCAGCGAGUCAAGUGUCUUGACCAGCACAAGCCGGCUUGGUUAAAUGUGCAUCGUUAAAGCCCAGGCCCAAUCAUGCCUUCACUGAGUUAUGACCUGGAGGAGAGAGGAUAAAAUAUGUUCACAGGUAACCAUUGUACGUAGUCCUUAGAGUUUCAGAUAAUCUGUUUUGUGAGCAAAUGAAUCAGAAGCAUCUUUGCCUUUCUUGUGCAUCCCACACAUACCAAGCAUAGACCUGUUACGCAUCUUUAAAGGAUUCUUGUUUGUUGUUUUUUUGUAAUUCAUUUUAGAGCGAAUUAAACUCAGAAUCCCUGGAUUGUACACUCUCCCUCUGUAGACUGUUGAGUUUCAGGCACGGGGAUGUAGCUGUAGAAUGUGGCUUGUUCAUUCUUCCUGAUGAGAAGUUGAUCUGAAUGGAUUGACCAUUUGGUAAUUUCUUAGUGAAAAGCUGACUCUUGAAUAUGCCUAUUAUAAUAUAAAUUCUUACCAACAUAAAUUAAGGGCUUAUGUGGGGCUUGGUAGAACUCUCAUGCCUUGAGGUAUCGGUAGCUUAUUAAAUUGGUUAACUUGUAUUUAUGAUGUAGCUACCCUGUGCCAGCCAUCACUGAGAAAGCCUGGAUUCUAUUGCAAAGAGACAUAUACUGAGAGAAAAUUGAUUACAAGUAACUAUUUCAGGCUCUGCUUUGAAUUUCUCAUUCACAUGCUUUCUUUUCUUUUUCCC